GAGCGAGACUUUUUUACCACCCUUUUUCGAGGGGAAGAGACUCGAGCGGGACUACUGGAGAGGAGGGGAACAAGUGGGCGCCCAUGGACGCCGCGGCGGAGCCCCUGCUGCCGCAACCGGCAACCGCCGUGGACCACCUCGGCCGUCCGGUCUCCCGCCAAACCUCCGGCCGGUGGCCCGCCGCGCUCUUCAUCAUCGGCGUGGAGAUCUCCGAGCGGUUCGCCUAUGGCGGCAUCUCAGGGAACCUCAUCACCUACCUGACCGGCCCGCUAGGGCAGUCCACGGCGUCGGCCGCCGCGGCCAUCAACGCCUGGAGCGGCGUCGCGCUUCUGCUGCCGCUGCUCGGAGCCGCCGUCGCCGAUUCCUGGCUCGGCCGUUACCGCACUGUAGUCUGCGCCUCCCUACUCUAUAUCCUGGGCCUGGGCAUGCUCACACUAUCAUCAAUUCUUGCACCACAACAACCAGCACAAUUUGGAGACCACAUGGAUUCCGCUUUAUCCUCGACUUCAACAAUUCAUUUAGCUUUCUUCUACGUGUCCCUGUAUAUUGUGGCCUUUGCGCAAGGUGGCCACAAACCUUGUGUGCAAGCAUUUGGGGCAGACCAAUUUGAUGAGAACGAUCCUGAAGAAUUUGCCUUGAGAAGUUCCUUCUUCAAUUGGUGGUAUUUUGGGACGUAUGCAGGCAGCGUUGUUACAGUUUCAAUAAGCUGGCAGUUUGGGUUCGGAAUCCCUUGCAUGGUUAUGUCUCUUUCUCUUGCAGUUUUGUGGCUUGGGACCAGGACUUAUCGCUUUUAUCCUGUAAGAAGUGAUGGAAGCUUAAUUGGACAGGUUGUCAAACACAUUUUAUCAUUGGUUAGAACCUGGCAUGCAUCAUGGAGUUUGAGGUCAUCUGAUGAUUCCCACUGCAUGCCAACAUCGUCAUCCAGCAGACUCAAGGAUAAAGCAGAAAUGACAUGUUUCCCUGAUGAAGCCAAGUCUCUGCUUAAAUUGUUUCCAAUAGGGGCAACCUGCCUGAUCUAUGCAGUUGUUUUUGCCCAGUGGAUGACGCUGUUCACUAAACAAGCAAGUACACUAGAUAGGUGGAUAGGUAGCUUACAGGUACCAGCUGCUGCCCUACAAAGCCUUAUCAGCGUGUCAAUCGUCAUCUCGAUUCCUAUAUAUGACCGGAUACUUGUUCCACUAGCCAGAAAGUACUCACAGAAGCCUUGUGGCAUCACAGCCUUGCAAAGGAUAGGAACUGGACUAGUCAUCUCCGUGAUCUUGAUUGUUGUUGCAGCCCUCGUGGAGAUGAGAAGGCUCAAAAUAGCAAGAGAGCAUGGCCUAGUGGACAAACCCGAAGCAACAAUUCCAAUGAGCUUUUGGUGGGUGGUACCUCAGUUCAUCCUGACUGGCGUGGCGGACAUGUUCACGAUGGUCGGCUUGCAAGAGUUCUUCUACGACCAAGUGCCAGACAGUCUGCGCAGUUUGGGCCUUGCCUUAUACUUGAGCAUAUUCGGAAUUGGGAGCUUCAUCAGUGGCUUUCUGGUGUAUGCAAUCGACCGGGUAACCAGUGACGGUGGAGAUAGUUGGUUCUCAAACAAUCUGAACCGAGGCCAUCUUGAUUACUUUUACUGGCUUCUGGCCGCGCUCAGCGUUGUCGGGCUGGCUGCUUACCUCCACUUUUCACAAGUGUAUGUCUCCAAGAAAAAGGGCAUUUCAGCAGAAUGAUGGUAUGCGCCAAGUGACUGUCGACUGAGAUGCCUGAAAUCCAUGAAUCCAUGACUGCCAACUGUCUGAUUGUUGAAUCCGGAAGUUUUCACUGCGCGUCAGUGUCCUGAGGUGCCGAGGAUACCGUGCAGAUGAUGCAACCGAGCUCAAGGAGGAGCUCGAGGAAGAUCUUGUCUUUUAUGUUGUGUCGUUCUAGUUGAUCAGUAGUGGAGCCCAGUUGGGGUCGAUCGGGGAUCUGUGUAGCAUUUGGGGUAGUCUUCUUUUAUUUUGGUUCCGUAGUCGGACCUUGUGUGUAUUUGGAUGAUGUAAUGCUUUAUUCUUGUAUUUGUGUGAAGUGGCGAUUGUAAGCCAACUAUGUAUCUCUUUCCCUUAUGUAUUACAUGGGUUGUGUGAAGAU
rnacentral:rRNA from 1 species